AAAGAGAAGGAAUAAGUAGAAACUAGAGAUUCAAAUUGCAUCCUAAAGGGUAAACAAAGGUGAAAGGAGUUCAUUCGAUUUGCUUUGAAGAUAAUUCAAUGAGAAAGGUUGCAGAAAUUAAGACUCACAUGAAUACUAUUUACCGUUCUGUGUAUACAAACAUUAUCCAGUAUCAGACAUCAUAUGUUCUAGUUUCUAUUUCAACAGAAUGUAAGCAUGAGGAGGGGUAGACAGUACAAGAAAAAAAGUUUAAAGAGAAUUAUUUUCAGCGACUAGUUUCAUCUGCUUCACUGCUUGUUACCAGUUCAGACACGGAUUUGGCACUCUUAAAAAGCGACUGGUAUUAGCACCAUCCCUACAAGCUUUAAGUCUGCCAACUGACAAUAUUUUGAGAGAGAAAUGUCAAUCAGGCCUAUUACGACUGUUGUAGGUUUGUAGCUUGUAAUUAGGUGAGAAGUAAAUAUCAAGGUGUAGUAAACUGAUUGCAAUAUUUUAAAAGGGAUGUAAAGAUUGGGCAAUUUUUGGAAGCUAUGCAUUAAUUUAACUAGAAUAUGGGAUCAACUUCACAUAAAAGACUUCUUGAUCAUAGCAUCAACAUUUUAUAGAAUGCACUUCAUUUGUUUCUAUUUUGUUUACUUUCUUUUCCAUUUUCUUAUUCUACUAUUAAACAAGACCAGAAAACCAUACUUGGCUAUAACUGCAAGCUGCGUACUGAGCACAUAUAGAGGCUAGAGGAUUAAACUAGAGAAGUUUUGAGAUGGUCAGGUCGUGCUAUGCAGAUCUUAGAUACUCCGGUCGUAUGAAACCAUAGUGACUGCAGAUGUUAAAUAGGGACAAGGUAAACCUAAAUUCACAAAAAUAAGAUAUUGUAGUGAAACAAAUGCAAUCUCUUGGAAGUUGGAAUCAAUGCAGAUUUGACAGAAAGUAGAGCACAAUGGAAAAAUAAUCUAUAUUGGUGUAUUGACUAGUUGGGAUUAAUUGAUCAAGACUAUCAUGUUGUACGCUUACUUUAGGUCCAAUAUUCAGCUAGGAUUCUCUUAAUCUUGUUCGAGAUUUGUAUGCAAAUAGAAGAUAUAGAGAACUUCAAAACCUAAAUUAGUAAAUAUUUGACGGAGACAGAUCUAAAUGGAGCGACAUAGAUAGUGAGGAUUCAUAUAACCGGCCCCAAGUUUAGAACUGAGGCGUUAAUAGUUGUUUUGGUUCUCACACUAAAAUUUAUGAUUUUUCAAGCUGUCACCACAGACUGUGAUAGUACUUCUAGGAUCAAUAACGGGAGACUGCCCCCUCACCCACUUUUCCUUGAAGAUAAACUUGAUGAACUAAAGUGAUCUACUUUCUGCAUGGAUUAGCUAAAAGAAGAGCAUUCAUCAGAAAAGGAGAAUCUGAAUCUCAUUCAACAAAUUUGUAGGAAUCUCUAGUGCGAUCUCCUAGGUCAAACAUUUGUUUGUUAAACAAAAUAAUUUUCUAAAAUCUGAGGAGCUCAUCUUACUUUGUACUUCUAUAUGUGGUUGUUAACAAGUUGAAGCAGAUAAAUGCUUAUAUGCUACAAUCCGAGCAAGCAUCAGGAACAUGCUUCAUGAAAACACUAAAGAUGACUGUCUAUCAUCCUCCUCAAAUUUGUCCUUAUCCCAUUUAACCCAUCCUACCAAUACAAACCAAUUGUAACUUAACGUACUUGCCCAAAGUGACCAUUUAUGCCUAUCUGAAACGUUAUGUAACAACACUAACAGAACUUGAGAAUAACAUUAUUCUCAGUUUUUUUUACACCCUAGUUUACAUUGGUCCACAGAAGCACAUAAGACAUUCCCAUCAGGAAGCGUGCAAAAAUGGAUUUUGAAGAAAAGGUCAAGUAAUAUGAUAGACCCAUAAACUGCAGGACUCACUAGCAACUACAAGGCUA